rnacentral:misc_RNA from 1 species
UCCCGGUUGGCCCGGGCGGUCUCGUCUGAAAGAUCCAACAGACGACAAGGGUUGCGCUCGUUGCGGGACUUAACCCAACAUCUCACGACACGAGCUGACGACGGCCAUGCAACACCUGUCACUAGAUUCCCGAAGGCACUCCCCUAUUUCUAGGGGAUUCCUAGGAUGUCAAGCCUCGGUAAGGUUCUUCGCGUAGCUUCGAAUUAAACCACAUGCUCCACCGCUUGUGCGGGUCCCCGUCUAUUCCUUUGAGUUUUAAGCUUGCGCUCGUACUCCCCAGGCGGGGUGCUUAACGCGUUAGCUUCUCAGCCCAGGGGGUCGAUACCCCCCACACCUAGCAUCCACCGUUUAGGGCGUGGACUAC